rnacentral:rRNA from 1 species
UAAUACGGAGGGUGCAAGCGUUGUCCGGAUUUAUUGGGUUUAAAGGGUGCGUAGGCGGCCCGUUAAGUCCGUGGUGAAAGCCAACAGCUCAACUGUUGAACUGCCAUGGAUACUGACGGGCUUGAGUACAGACGAGGUAGGCGGAAUGGAUGGUGUAGCGGUGAAAUGCAUAGAUACCAUCCAGAACACCGAUUGCGUAGGCAGCUUACUAGGCUGUAACUGACGCUGAGGCACGAAAGCGUGGGGAGCGAACAGGAUUAGAUACCCUGGUAGUCCACGCUGUAAACGAUGAUUACUCGAUGUUGGCGAUACACAGUCAGCGUCUUAGCGAAAGCGUUAAGUAAUCCACCUGGGGAGUACGCCCGCAAGGGUG